CCUACGGGUGGCAGCAGUGGGGAAUAUUGGACAAUGGGCGAAAGCCUGAUCCAGCCAUGCCGCGUGUGUGAAGAAGGCCUUCGGGUUGUAAAGCACUUUCAGUGGGGAAGAAAGCCUUGGGGCUAAUACCCUCGAGGAAGGACAUCACCCACAGAAGAAGCACCGGCUAACUCCGUGCCAGCAGCCGCGGUAAUACGGAGGGUGCGAGCGUUAAUCGGAAUUACUGGGCGUAAAGCGCGCGUAGGCGGUCUGAUAAGCCGGUUGUGAAAGCCCCGGGCUCAACCUGGGAACGGCAUCCGGAACUGUCAGGCUAGAGUGCAGGAGAGGAAGGUAGAAUUCCCGGUGUAGCGGUGAAAUGCGUAGAGAUCGGGAGGAAUACCAGUGGCGAAGGCGGCCUUCUGGACUGACACUGACGCUGAGGUGCGAAAGCGUGGGUAGCAAACAGGAUUAGAUACCUUUGUAGUC
rnacentral:rRNA from 1 species